rnacentral:rRNA from 1 species
GACGAACGCUGGCGGCGUGCUUAACACAUGCAAGUCGAACGGAAAGGCCCUGCUUUUGUGGGGUGCUCGAGUGGCGAACGGGUGAGUAACACGUGAGUAACCUGCCCUUGACUUUGUGAUAACUUCAGGAAACUGGGGCUAAUACCGGAUAGGAGCUCCUGCUGCAUGGUGGGGGUUGGAAAGUUUCGGCGGUUGGGGAUGGACUCGCGGCUUAUCAGCUUGUUGGUGGAGUAGUGGCUUACCAAGGCUUUGACGGGUAGCCGGCCUGAGAGGGUGACCGGCCACAUUGGGACUGAGAUACGGCCCAGACUCCUACGGGAGGCAGCAGUGGGGAAUAUUGCACAAUGGGCGGAAGCCUGAUGCAGCAACGCCGCGUGCGGGAUGACGGCCUUCGGGUUGUAAACCGCUUUCGCCUGUGACGAAGCGUGAGUGACGGUAAUGGGUAAAGAAGCACCGGCUAACUACGUG